AGUGAACGCUGGCGGUAGGCCUAACACAUGCAAGUCGAACGGCAGCACAGUAAGAGCUUGCUCUUACGGGUGGCGAGUGGCGGACGGGUGAGGAAUACAUCGGAAUCUACUUUUUCGUGGGGGAUAACGUAGGGAAACUUACGCUAAUACCGCAUACGACCUACGGGUGAAAGCAGGGGAUCUUCGGACCUUGCGCGAUUGAAUGAGCCGAUGUCGGAUUAGCUAGUUGGCGGGGUAAAGGCCCACCAAGGCGACGAUCCGUAGCUGGUCUGAGAGGAUGACCGGCCCAACUUGAACUGAGACACGGUCCAGACUCCUACGGGAGGCAGCAGUGGGGAAUAUUGGACAAUGGGCGCAAGCCUGAUCCAGCCAUAUCGCGUGGGUGAAGAAGGCCUUCGGGUUGUAAAGCCCUUUUGUUGGGAAAGAAAAGCAGCAGGUUAAUACCCCGCUGUUCUGACGGUACCCAAAGAAUAAGCACCGGCUAACUUCGUG
rnacentral:rRNA from 1 species